rnacentral:lncRNA from 1 species
AUUUUGAGUUUAUUUUGUCCCCUUGUUGCUGCUGAGUGUCACAGGAGUAAACCGAGACCGCUGCCGUACCUCUAGAACUUACCCUAUCCCCACAAUGACAAAACAUCCUCCAUUUUCAAAGUGAUUUACAAUUUUCAGAUUGUGUUUUCCAUUUCUGCAGUAGGAAGAUUUAGGGUUGGGUAGAAACUGUACGUUCUGAAGCUUUGGCUGUAUGAAAUUUUAUAUACAUAAUACAUUUUAAAUAGCUUCGUUGAAGCAUGACUGAGCAUGUGUUUUGGACUGAGUGAUGUCUUAGUCUGAAAAGUUGGGCAAAGUUUCAUCAGAACUUUCCUUAUCAUUGCCAGUUUCUUGUGCUAGAAAUUCUUGUGAUUUAAAUUGCUACAAAUACUGUACUGAAACUUUCGCAAAACUUGCUUAAAUAUCUAGGAGUUAAGUCUGAAACUGAGCAGAAUUCAGGUAGUAUUCCUCCUUCCAGGAGAUCCAGUCCAAGGAACUCAUCAAACUCCACAGAUCAGAAGGAAAGGACAUUACUGGCUAAUUUCAGGAUACAUAUAAUAUAACAGAUGGAUUGGAACAACUUGAGAGCAGAAAGAUCUACUUGCACAUAGGGGAGUCCAAUCAAUGGAUACUCAUUAGUAGCAUCAAGUUUUCAAGGAUAACUGCAUUGUUUCUUCCAUCAAAAUGAAACAAUUUUCAGUAAU